rnacentral:rRNA from 1 species
AACGAACGCUGGCGGCAGGCUUAACACAUGCAAGUCGAGCGCCCCGCAAGGGGAGCGGCAGACGGGUGAGUAACGCGUGGGAAUCUACCCAUCUCUACGGAAUAACGCAUGGAAACGUGUGCUAAUACCGUAUACGUCCUUCGGGAGAAAGAUUUAUCGGAGAUGGAUGAGCCCGCGUUGGAUUAGCUAGUUGGUGGGGUAAAGGCCUACCAAGGCGACGAUCCAUAGCUGGUCUGAGAGGAUGAUCAGCCACACUGGGACUGAGACACGGCCCAGAAGCCUACGGGAGGCAGCAGUGUGGAAUAUUGGACAAUGGGCGCAAGCCUGAUCCAGCCAUGCCGCGUGAGUGAUGAAGGCCCUAGGGUUGUAAAGCUCUUUCACCGGUGAAGAUAAUGACGGUAACCGGAGAAGAAGCCCCGGCUAACUUCGUGCCAGCCGCCGCCGUAACAC